CCCUGCUUGUUCUCUUUCUCUAAAUAAAUAAAUAAACUUAAAAAAAAAAUCAACACUGAUUUUAAGUUUAGUAAGAAAGAUGCAGUGAGAACUCGUAUGUCAGAUCUCUCGAGUCGAAUGUGCCUAUUUAAUGUCCUAGCUCAGAAAAAGAGAUCGGGUUUUUAGUUGACCUUUAAGAAAAUGAUCUGAGGGAUUCAUGUUUAUCCGUCCCCCUUUCUGGUACAGUUGUGGGAAACUUGGACUCUUUCAACACAUCAGAUCCAACUGCAGAAUCUCCGAGUGAAUCUACGUGUUUGUGACGACUCAGGCUGCAGGGGUACGGCUUUGUCACAAAAUGCUUUUCUCUCUUCGAGAAAAAUGUGUAUCCUCUGAGCAUGGUAGGAACGCGCCAUGUUGAAUUAGAAAUGAGCAGUGCGGUACCGGCUGGAGGAGUAGCUCUGCUUGGCGAUCUUGAAAUAAAUGCAGCUGGGAUAAUUUUCGAUUCAACCCUUGGCAAACCUUCGGUGUGUACAAGAAAAAAAAAAGCUGUGGAGGAGGCUUAACUGCUGUAGGCGCUCAGCAGCCAUCACUCUCUCUCUCGAAGUUUCCAGUAAACGGUAGGUCAGCUCUGCGUCCUGCUGAGGUCUGGUGAGCACUCUGGGAAGAAAUGAUUCUUAUUAAGUGAGUUCAUAUGUCUAAUUGCUGAGCACAGGGCCUGGCACAUUGAAGUGCUUAAUGAAUAUUAGCUUUUAUUUUUAAAACGUAUUAUUAUUUAGGAUUAUUAACUUCCUAAGGCUCAAUGGGUACCCUGAAGGGUCACGAUUAUGGACCCAAUUUCCUCCUCUACCCGUAUGGUCUCUCAGUUCUAGACUGACAUACCCAGGCUUUAUACCCCACGCCUUCAAAGGAGACCACGUACUGCUGGGAACGUGGCUUUCAGUUCCAUAGCAGCUCUGAAACUGAUUUCUGUAUUACAAGGUUUCAGGUGAUCAUGGUUCACUGGUAGAAUCAGGGAAGUUCAGAAGCCGACAGAAUCUCCCCCUUCUGGGCCGAUUCCUUUCUGAGUUCCCAGGAGAACUAGGUUUUGGAAUUUUCCCUAAAUGUCUAUCCUCCUAGGGCUGAAUCGAACCUUUGGCGUUUCCUGUUCUACACUGGGAACCAGAAGCUUUCUGAAUUAUCUCAUAGGACAUUUCCUGAUCUGUGAAUCUUUUAGAGCCUGAAGAUCAUGUUUUUCCCCUCAUCAUCUCCUGACUCUCAGUCUCCAAGGAACAUACAAACUCAUUCUGCCUUCUACCUCCAGAAUGAGGCUCUCUUUCCUGGGACAUCCUGGUCAGCCAGAGUCAUUUUAUCCCACCCUGCCGGUGUCACUCGUCACAAAGCUCUUGACGUUCAGUUAGGAAUAAAUAAGUUACCACCAGAAUCAAAGUCAAGUUGAGUUUAUCAAACGUUGGGUGUUUUCGCAUGGGGGGGGGGAGGAUGGUGGAAAUAGGUGGUGGGGAUGAAAAGGACACUUACCGUGUUGAGCAGUAGGUAAUGUACAGGAUUGUUGAAUCGCUAUACUGUACCCCCCAAACCGAUAUCACACUGUAUGUUAUCUGUGCUGGAAUUAAAAUGAAAAAGCUUAAU